GGGCCGAUAGCUCAGCUGGUAGAGCAACGCCCUUUUAAGGCGUGGGUCACAGGUUCGAAUCCUGUUCGGCUCA
rnacentral:tRNA from 1 species